ACAAUGGCGAAGUGGUGAUCUCGACGCGGCGUCUAGAUAAAAUCCGCGCUGUCGACACGCAAUCCAACGCCAUGACCGUCGAAGCGGGCGUCAUCCUUGCCAAUGCGCAGCAGCGCGCCACCGAUUCCGACAGGCUUCCGCUGUCGCUCGGCGCGGAAGGAAGCUGCACGAUCGGCGGCAAUCUUUCCACCAAUGCCGGCGGCAUCGCCGCUCUGGCUUACGGUGUCGCGCGCGAUCUCGUGCUUGGGCUGGAAGUCGUGCUC
rnacentral:misc_RNA from 1 species